GUUAUAGUUUGUCAGUUCUCAAAGUAGGCCUAUCAUUGUGUUAAAUCAUGUAUGUGUUUGUUCUUCGCCAGGGUGCUCAUUAAAACCAACUACUUUUGGAUUUUCGUCUGGCACCCUUCAUUUGUAGACACGCAUGUGUUACAGAAGAAGCAACCUAAACUGAAGAAAAAUGAAGGCUGAAGAAGAGCUGAGGUGUUUGAGGCAGAGCAGUCUGAAGUUGGAGCGAUCUGUAGAGGAUGUCCUCAAACUCGCAAACCGGGUGGGAGAAGUUCGUAAUCAGCCAACACUUCCUUGUCCAGUCCCCUCAGGAAUGAGCCAUGUUGUUCCUUCUCACCCCGAGCCGGGAACCUCUGCAUACAGCACCAACCGCUCCUCCCGCCUGCCCAAACCCAACCACCCCAGUAGCCUCCCGAACUCUGCUAUCUCCCUCAGCCCACCAAUGUGGCAGCCGAUCACCAGUCCGAGCCCAGGGAGUGCUUCUGAACCCCAGCAGUGUCAGCUCCAGCCCCAGAGCUCGCUCCAGUGUCAGCUCCAGGCCUGUACUUUUUUUAUUUUUUUUUAUCUAUAGAGAUCCAGCCAUAGAGGCUGAGGCGGGGGUUGAGCCAUGUAGUCUCCAGAUCUACUGUGACCUUAGUCCUCCCUCCUGGAAGGCUCGUCCCGAGCUGUAACACCGUGGAGGAGGGGGUUGAGCGCCCUUGAGGUUGGUGCAGGGCAGGAACAGGGUGGCUUUGAGGAGGACUUCCAGGAUGCCCACCCCCCUCCUCCCUGGUGUUACAGCUUGGGACGAGCGUUCCAGGAAGGAGAAGUCAGUCAUGGACUUCUAUUCCCCAGUUUCUUUGGAGUUUUCCUUAUUUGGUGAUGUUCCUUUUCUGGUUUUGUUAAUUACUCCCCACCUGUUUCUGUUCUUCUGAUUACUUUGUUUAUAAACCCAGUCUGUUUCAUUCUAGUUUGUCGGUUCUUAAUGUAUGAUUGUGUUAAAGUAAAAUUAUAUGUUCGUUCUU